rnacentral:rRNA from 1 species
GUGGGGAAUAUUGGGCAAUGGGCGAAAGCCUGACCCAGCAACGCCGCGUGAAGGAAGAAGGCUUUCGGGUUGUAAACUUCUUUUGUCAGGGACGAAAAAAAUGACGGUACCUGACGAAUAAGCCACGGCUAACUACGUGCCAGCAGCCGCGGUAAUACGUAGGUGGCAAGCGUUAUCCGGAUUUACUGGGUGUAAAGGGCGUGUAGGCGGGAAAGCAAGUCAGAUGUGAAAACUAUGGGCUCAACCCAUAGCCUGCAUUUGAAACUGUUUUGCUUGAGUACGGGAGAGGCAGAUGGAAUUCCUAGUGUAGCGGUGAAAUGCGUAGAUAUUAGGAGGAACACCAGUGGCGAAGGCGAUCUGCUGGACAGCAACUGACGCUGAGGCGCAAAAGCGUGGGGAGCAAACAGGAUUAGAAACCCUUGUAGUCC